rnacentral:rRNA from 1 species
CUACUAGGGUAUCUAAUCCUGUUUGAUCCCCGCGCUUUCGAGUCUCAGUGUCAAUGUUGGGCCAGAUCGCCGCCUUCGCCACCGGUGUUCCUCCAGAUAUCUACGUAUUUCACCACUACACCUGGAAUUCCACGAUCCUCUCCCACAUUCAAGCUUUGCAGUAUCAAAAGCACUUCCCGGGUUAGGCCCGGGGCUUUCACUCCUGACUUACAAAGCCACCUACACUCGCUUUACGCCCAAUAAUUCCGAGCAACGCUUGGACCCCUCGUCUUACCGCGGCUGCUGGCAC